ACGUGCGGUUCUAUUUUGUUGGUUUCUAGAGUCGCCGUAAUGAUUAAUAGGGAUAGUUGGGGGCAUUAGUAUUCAGUUGCUAGAGGUGAAAUUCUUGGAUUUACUGAAGACUAACUACUGCGAAAGCAUUUGCCAAGGAUGUUUUCAUUAAUCAAGAACGAAGGUUAGGGGAUCGAAACGAUCAGAUACCGUUGUAGUCUUAACAGUAAACUAUGCCGACUAGGGAUCGGGCGACCUCAAUUUGAUGUGUCGCUCGGCACCUUACGAGAAAUCAAAGUCUUUGGGUUCGGGGGGGAGUAUGGUCGCAAGGCUGAAACUUAAAGGAAUUGACGGAAGGGCACCACCAGGAGUGGAGCCUGCGGCUUAAUUUGACUCAACACGGGGAAACUCACCAGGUCCAGACAUAACUAGGAUUGACAGAUUGAUAGCUCUUUCUUGAUUUUAUGGGUGGUGGUGCAUGGCCGUUCUUAGUUGGUGGAGUGAUUUGUCUGGUUAAUUCCGAUAACGAACGAGACCUUCCCGUGCUAAAUAGCCCGGCCGGCUCAGGCCGGUCGCCGGCUUCUUAGACGGACUAUCGGCGUUUAGCUGGUGGAAGUUGGAGGCAAUAACAGGUCUGUGAUGCCCUUAGAUGUUCUGGGCCGCACGCGCGCU
rnacentral:rRNA from 1 species